rnacentral:lncRNA from 1 species
GAAGAAGAAAGAAAGACUGGGGCUCCUUGGAGUGGGAGUGGAGCCAAUGUGACAGCAUGUGACAGAGAUCUAAGUGCAGAUCUGGUGAGAGCCAAGGGGCUCAGAGCCGAGUCCAAGGCGAGUUACUGUGUCUGCUCACGGUGCAGACUGGGCAGUGAGUGACACUCCCCAUGCUGUAGCAGUGUCCUCAGCCAGUGAUCGACCUUCACCUUUAGCCCCUGCCAAGAGGCUGGGGGACUACUGGCUGGAGCCACCGAGAGUGAAGGCCCAGUGAAGCACUUGGGGAUGCUUGACCUUCUGUUGCUCUACUUUGUUUCCACUGUCCUCAGAGAAGACACUGUGCUUGAUGUCUGUUCUUUGAAAGUUACUGAGAGUAAUUCAGUGGCCCUGCAUAUGGCCUAUCACCGUGAAGGGCACAUGCACUUGAAAAGACCAUGUCUGUAGGGCCUGGGGCAGAGUGUUCCCUAAAUAUCCAUUGUGAAAAGUCCUCAGCUCAGGGUAGUUGCUGUUCAAGAAAAUCUCGUUCUUUCAUUUUUUUGCCUUGAUAUCCAAAUAAACCCAUAAGCAGGAGGAGAUUUUCAUUUUUGCACAGACGAGCAGUUUCUGAGGAC